rnacentral:rRNA from 1 species
UACGUAGGGUGCGAGCGUUAAUCGGAAUUACUGGGCGUAAAGCGUGCGCAGGCGGCUUUGCAAGACAGAUGUGAAAUCCCCGGGCUCAACCUGGGAACUGCAUUUGUGACUGCACGGCUAGAGUACGGCAGAGGGGGAUGGAAUUCCGCGUGUAGCAGUGAAAUGCGUAGAUAUGCGGAGGAACACCAAUGGCGAAGGCAAUCCCCUGGGCCUGUACUGACGCUCAUGCACGAAAGCGUGGGGAGCAAACAGG